AUUGUACGCUGGCGGCAUGCCUUACACAUGCAAGUCGAACGGCAGCACGGACUUCGGUCUGGUGGCGAGUGGCGAACGGGUGAGUAAUGUAUCGGAACGUACCUUUCAGUGGGGGAUAACGUAGCGAAAGUUACGCUAAUACCGCAUAUUCUGUGCGCAGGAAAGCAGGGGAUCGCAAGACCUUGCGCUGAUUGAGCGGCCGAUAUCAGAUUAGCUAGUUGGUGAGGUAAAGGCUCACCAAGGCGACGAUCCGUAGCGGGUCUGAGAGGAUGAUCCGCCACACUGGAACUGAGACACGGUCCAGACUCCUACGGGAGGCAGCAGUGGGGAAUUUUGGACAAUGGGGGCAACCCUGAUCCAGCCAUGCCGCGUGAGUGAAGAAAGCCUUCGGGUUGUAAAGCUCUUUCGGCCGGGAAGAAAUCGUAUCAGCUAAUACCUGGUGCGGAUGACGGUACCGGCAUAAGAAGCACCGGCUAACUACGUGCCAGCCGCCGCAGUAAAAC
rnacentral:rRNA from 1 species